CGUAAUAACAGAAACUAACCAGGAUUCCCUUAGUAACGGCGAGUGAACUGGGAUACCAAUAACACAUAUACGCGUCGUUCGCGACGUGUAUCUUUAGCCCGUCGAUACUAUCCUAGCGUAUGACUCUCUGUCUCGGCAGAGUGUCGCCUAAUACGCGGGAAUUGUAGCAUCGUAAUAUAAAAUAUACGUAUCUACGCGCCACACACACAUACCAACAACAGUGCCGGCCUUGCAAACACACAGCGCUCUCGCGUUGGAAAGCAAGUUAUAUCUUCGGAUAUGCCAUAGAGUGUGACAGCCACGUUUGGAACACCACUCGGCAACUGAUACACGCGCAUAAUACAUACCGUAUAUAACCUGAGUCGAGUUAUUU
rnacentral:rRNA from 1 species